rnacentral:rRNA from 1 species
AGCAGCCGCGGUAAUUCCAGCUCCAAUAGCGUAUAUUAAAGUUGUUGCAGUUAGAAAGCUCGUAGUUGAAUUUCGGGAUCAAGGAAUCGGUCAUGCCUCGGUAUGUACUGGUUUUAUUGGUUCUCACCUUCUAAAGAACCAUAAUGUCAUUCAUUUGAUGUUAUGGGGAAUUAGGACUGUUACCUUGAAAAAUUAGAGUGUUUAAAGCAGGCUUACGCUUGAAUACAUUAGCAUGGAAUAAUGAAAUAGGACAUCAGAUUCUAUUUUGUGGUUUCUAGGAUCGAUGUAAUGAUUAANAGGGAUAGUUGGGGGCAUUAGUAUUCAAUUGUCAGAGGUGAAAUUCUUGGAUUUAUUGAAGACUAAACUACUGCGAAAGCAUUUGCCAAGGAUGUUUUCAUUAAUCAAGAACGAAAGUUAGGGGAUCGAAGACGAUCAGAUACCGUCGUAGUCUUAACCAUAAACUAUGCCGACUAGGGAUCGGAUGAUGUAAUUUUANAA